rnacentral:rRNA from 1 species
CCUACGGGAGGCAGCAGUGAGGAAUAUUGGUCAAUGGGCGGAAGCCUGAACCAGCCAAGUAGCGUGCAGGAUGACGGCCCUACGGGUUGUAAACUGCUUUUAUACGGGAAUAACGCGCCUUACGUGUAGGGCUUUGCAUGUACCGUAUGAAUAAGGACCGGCUAAUUCCGUGCCAGCAGCCGCGGUAAUACGGAAGGUCCGGGCGUUAUCCGGAUUUAUUGGGUUUAAAGGGAGCGUAGGCCGCAUGUCAAGCGUGCUGUGAAAUGUCGGGGCUCAACCCGGGCCUUGCGGCGCGAACUGGCGUGCUUGAGUGCGCGGAACGCAGGCGGAAUUCGUGGUGUAGCGGUGAAAUGCUUAGAUAUGACGAAGAACUCCGAUUGCGAAGGCAGCUUGCGGCAGCGGAACUGACGCUGAUGCUCGAAAGCGCGGGUAUCGAACAGGAUUAGAUACCCGAGUAGUC